rnacentral:rRNA from 1 species
CCUACGGGUGGCAGCAGUAGGGAAUCUUUCACAAUGGGCGAAAGCCUGAUGGAGCAACGCCGCGUGCAGGAUGAAGGCCUUCGGGUUGUAAACUGCUUUUAUAAGCGAGAAAUAUGAUGGUAACUUAUGAAUAAGGAUCGGCUAACUACGUGCCAGCAGCCGCGGUCAUACGUAGGACCCAAGCAUUAUCCGGAGUGACUGGGUGUAAAGAGUUGCGUAGGUGGAAUAAUAAGUAGCUAGUGAAAUCUGGUGGCUCAACCAUUCAGACUAUUAGCUAAACUGUUAAGCUCGAGACCGUUAGGGGUAACUGGAAUUUCUAGUGUAGGAGUGAAAUCCGUAGAUAUUAGAAGGAACACCAAUAGCGUAGGCAGGUUGCUGGGACGGUUCUGACACUAAGGCACGAAAGCGUAGGGAGCAAACGGGAUUAGAUACCCCUGUAGUC